ensembl:lncRNA
CUCUUGUCUAAGGGUGGCAAUGCUUGCUACAGGUCCAGGUGGCACAUGCAUAGGCCACACUGACUUGGGAUAGUUAGCAGUGUUCUGGGCCAGCUGCCAAGUCUGCCCUGGGGUUGUUCCCGAUUGGGCAAUUUAGGUCACAGGCCCAUCUCUGGAGCAAAGAGAUUGUGGCCUGGAUGGGGAGGAGGAAUCGGGGUUGGCCCCAGGCUCAGGAGUUGAGAGGAAGAGUGGAGAGUGGAAUGAACCCGGGCUGUCCCUAAAAAGAAAGGGAGGGACGGAUGUGGACAGGGGCCUCCAGCAAGCACAGUGGAGGGGACAGGAGAGAUUGACAAGCAAAGCCCUCGGGCGGCUCCGGCUGCUUGAGGAUGAGGUAAUCAUCCAGCCUUGGGGGCUGGCUGGCUGGGAGGGGGGUGCAGUAGCUGAAAUUGUGGAGGGUGGAACGGUUCUGGGUGAGGGGGCAGCUGGGGUACCUUGGGGAGGGGCCUGAACCCUGGAAACCACGCCUAGGAGGGCACCCAACCAGAAGCUUCCAAACUCCCCAAAUCUGCGCUAACGGCCCUCUCUGCCAGCAGGAGACCAGGGAUGCAGAGUUCUCCCUGCUCGGCUUCAGGUGGACUUGCUGCCCUGGGAGGGGGCCUGGUGCUUCCAGAAGCCGGUCUGGGUCAGAGACAACGGGGAAGGCCUGGGGCAGGCUGGGGGGGGGCCGUGCUUGGUCAGGGGGGUGGGGAUGGGGCAGUGGCCUCUGGGCCUCUCCUGUCUCCUUCCCUUCCAUCCAAGACAAUGGGCUGCCAGCUAGGGUGGGAGACGAUGAAAGGCCGGGUGGGGUUGGUGGAAUCAUAGCCUCCAGGGCCUCUGGUCCCCCUCACCCUGUGCCUUCGUGGAAGGGAGGCCUGAGAGCUGUCCCCAGUGACCGGGGCCCCUGCCCUGACGCCAGGGGUCAGCCUCUCAAGGUUAGGGUCUGUCUCCUUCCCUCCCUCCCUUCAGCUUCGCAGGUAAAGGGCACCCAGCUGCAGGACCUGCCUGUGUCCUCCGAGGCGCUGUCGGCCUGCGGGAUUGUGGCGGGGCCUCCGGGUGAGGCUCGAGGAGUGGAGCUGGGCCAGAUCGAUCGCUUCGUUUGGAUGGAAAAGAACCUAAAAUUUCUCAAUAAGGUUUCUAUUGAUUAGACGGUGGAAUGAUCGUAUUUGGGGCAUGCUCAUGGGUUAAAUUCACUUGUUUGAUUUUCCUUUUUUGGGGGGCCGCAUUCGAGAGACAUGGAAGGUCCCUGGGCCAGGGAUUGAAUCAGAGCCGCAUGGGCGACCUACGCCACAGCUGAGGUAACACGGGACCCUUAACCCACUGCAGCACAGCGGGAACUCCCUGCUGCACGUCUCUGAGCCACACUGUCUUCCUUGAGGAGGCGCUGCUGAGGGUGACGGAGACCCCCCUACUGGAGGUGCCACUGAGGUGUGGCAGGGAGGGGGCAUCCAUCCGUCUGUCCCCAGGCCUCGGACCCUGGUGCCUGAGAGACACGGAUGCUGCAAGACUCCAUCUCCAGCACCACCACUGCUGCGCUCAGACCCUGGGGCUCUGUCAGGAGUCUGCCCUGCACGGCUUUUAUCAAAACAUCCAAAACUAGGCCAGAGACAAGGCCAGGGAACCUGCAGCCCUCGGGCCACUCCAGGCCGCCUACCAGGUUCCGGCAGAGCUGCCGGGCGGGACGUGGACCCCGCGGGCACUUUCGAGCCUGUGCACCCCAGCGUCCCUUCUGCUGCCGGUAUGGUGGGGUCUGAGGACAGUGGGAGGCAGAAGGGGCUGGGGCUGGGGGUGGCCUUGAUCUGGGCUGGCCCUGCUCAGGCUGGCCCUCCCAGCCCCCCGCCGGUAUCAGAGUUCUUCCCCCGGAAACAGAAACUGCUUUGUGAGCACAUCCUCUGGGCCUGGCUCUGGCCUCCUGACCCUCAGGAUGGGGGGCUCCCAGGCAGCCCCCCAGCGGGCUGACUCAUCCUCCUACGCGCUGCGCCUCCUUCUCCAUCUCAGCCCCGGGCUUGCCCCUCCUACCCGCCUUCCCCCAGGCGGCAGUGUCCCCAGGAGCGCAUCACACUCCCCUUUGAACCUUCCCCGGCUUCCCUGAGCACAUCCUGCAGCACCAGCCUCCCCCAGGGCUUGUCCCUCCCGUGUGCCCCAGAUCAACCCCCGGCUGGUCCCUGAACCCUUCCUCCCCUGCUGGCUCCUGUGGACACACACCUUUUUUCUUCCUUUCUUCUUUUAUUUUUGGCCGCACUGCGGCAUCCGGAAGUUCCUGGGCCAGGGAUCCAAUCCGCAGCUUAACCCACUGCGCCACAGCGGCAACUAGACACCUAUCUUUUUCAAAACAUUUCCCCACACCCCUGUGAGGAGGGCAGUGUUGUACCCAUUUCACAGAGGACUGUGGAGGCUGGAGAGAGACGGGAGUUGGAGGAUGAGCAAAUGCUUGCCCCCUGGUGGCCCCACUGCCCCACUCAGAGACUGUUGUCUCCUCCGUGCACCGACCUGUUUCCCCUCGCCUUUGCUGAAAAUCAAAUGACAGGAAAGGAGUUCCCUGGUGGCCUGGCAGUUAAGGGCUUGGGUUCCUGCUGGGGUGUGGGUUUGAUCCCUGGCCUGGGAAAUUCUGUAGGCCUCUGGUGUGGCCAAAAAAGAAAAGAAAGCCUGGAUAAGUGACUCUGGGCUCAGUAUUCUGUUCCAUUGAUCCGUGUGUUGGUCCUAUUCCAGUGCUGUGGCCUCAGGGACAGUCACAAAGCCGGGCAGCAGUAAGUUCUCUGACUUCGUUCUGUUGUUCCUCCCUCCCCAGCCCCUGGCCACCACCCUCUGCUUUCUGUCUUUCUGAGUGUGACUCCUCCAGGGACCUCAUCAUAUAAGCAGAAUCCUACAGUCUGUGUCCUUUGGUGACGGGCUCAUUUCACUGAGCAUAAUGUCACAAGGUCUAUCCACAGUGUUGCAGGUGUCAGGAUUUCUAUACCCUUUUUUUUUUUGUCGGGUGCACCUGGGGCACAUGGAAAUUCCUGGGCCAGGGGGGGAACCUGAGCCACAGCAGCCACCCAAGCCACUGCAACACCAGAUCCUUAACCCACUGCACCUCAGGGGAACUCUGACUUCAUUCCUUUUUUUUUUUGUCUUUUUGUCUUUUUACCUGGGCCACUCCUGUGGCACAUGGAGGUUCCCAGGCUAGGGGUCGAAUCAGAGCCAUAGCCGCCGGCCUACGCCAAAGCCACAGAAACUCGGGAUCCGAGCUGUGUCUGCACCCUACACCACAGCUCACGGCAACGCCGGAUCCUUAACCCACUGAGCAAGGCCAGGGAUCGAACCUGCAACCUCAUGGUUCCUAGUUGGAUUCAUUAACCACUGAGCCACGAUGGGAACUCCUGACUUCAUUCCUUUUUAAGACUGAAUAAUAUUCCAUUGUAUGGAUGGACCACAUCGUGACUCUUUACCCAUCUGGCAAUGGACGCUUGGGUUCCCUCCCCCUUUUGGUUUCUGUGAAUAAAUGCUAUGGGGAAUGUGAGUGUGCA